ensembl:snoRNA LOC120095433 small nucleolar RNA SNORA48
ACCCCCUGGACAUGGGCAAGGAGACACCAUGUUGGUGGUGUUGUUCCUAUAUCAGUCAGGGGCAGAGCAGAUGUAGGCCUUUGUUCAUCCUAGCUUGAUGCCUGGCUUGGUGGCCAAAGCUGUUUCAUGCCUAGGGCACAUGA